GCCUGAUUAUGGAGACUCUUACCUGGACAGAGGACUGUAAUUGAUGACUGUGCUCUACAUCCUGAAUAUAUUUCCAGAUACGGUACCUGUCAUUCAUGAUUCUCUUUCAUAAUUCAAGAGGAAUCAAAGUCAUCAUCCAUGAGUUUCUCCACUAGAACACAGAGAACAUCCUGGUGGGUACAUGCUUUUCCUGCUUUGGGAACACUACCAGGCUGAGGAUGUUUGGGGGCCUCUCAAGUCUUCAGGCAUGCCAGAUGUUUGCUCAGUUCUCCAACAUGAUCAGAAGAAAAUGAAUGGAUGGUUACAUUUGACCUCAGUCUUUCUCUGCAUAUGGCAUAGGCCUUCUCUGCCCUUUCCACCGCAGUCUUGUUAG
rnacentral:lncRNA from 1 species